GACGAACGCUGGCGGCGUGCUUAACACAUGCAAGUCGAGCGAGGCCCACACCUUCGGGUGUGGUGCCCUAGCGGCGAACGGGUGAGUAACACGUGGGCAACCUGCCCCUAGCACUGGGAUAAGCCCGGGAAACCGGGUCUAAUACCGGAUAUGACGUCGGAGGGCAUCCUCUGGCGUGGAAAGGAUUCUGGCUAGGGAUGGGCCCGCGGCCUAUCAGCUUGUUGGUGGGGUAAAGGCCCACCAAGGCGACGACGGGUAGCCGGCCUGAGAGGGCGACCGGCCACACUGGGACUGAGACACGGCCCAGACUCCUACGGGAGGCAGCAGUGGGGAAUAUUGCACAAUGGGCGAAAGCCUGAUGCAGCGACGCCGCGUGAGGGAUGACGGCCUUCGGGUUGUAAACCUCUUUCAGCUCCGACGAAGCGAAAGUGACGGUAGGGGCAGAAGAAGCACCGGCCAACUACGUGCCAGCAGCCGCAGUAAUAC
rnacentral:rRNA from 1 species